CUCCAAUGAUGAUUCAGCCAUGCUAAUACCGAUGCACCAAAUGGACAGUUGUUCUGUCUUUGGGUGUAAGUGAGUUCAGAUCACCUUCUCACGCUUAUGCUAGUGUGUGCUGAGGAGA